GUGAGGAAUUUUCCGCAAUGGGCGAAAGCCUGACGGAGCAAUGCCGCGUGAAGGAUGAAGGCCUAUGGGUUGUAAACUUCUUUUCUCAGAAAAGAAUUAUGACGGUAUCUGAGGAAUAAGCAUCGGCUAACUCUGUGCCAGCAGCCGCGGUAAGACAGAGGAUGCAAGCGUUAUCCGGAAUGAUUGGGCGUAAAGCGUCUGUAGGUUGUUUAAAAAGUAUUCUGUCAAAGAUUAGGGCUUAACCCUAGAUAGGCAGAAUAAACUUUUAAGCUAGAGUGUGGUAGAGGCAGAGGGAAUUCCCGGUGGAGCGGUGAAAUGCGUAGAUAUCGGGAGGAACACCAAAGGCGAAGGCACUCUGCUGGGCCAAUACUAACACUGAGAGACGAAAGCGAGGGGAGCAAAUGGGAUUAGAAACCCUUGUAGUCC
rnacentral:rRNA from 1 species